ACUCCUACGGGAGGCAGCAGUAGGGAAUCUUCCACAAUGGGCGCAAGCCUGAUGGAGCAACACCGCGUGAGUGAAGAAGGGUUUCGGCUCGUAAAGCUCUGUUGUUAAAGAAGAACACGUAUGAGAGUAACUGUUCAUACGUUGACGGUAUUUAACCAGAAAGUCACGGCUAACUACGUGCCAGCAGCCGCGGUAAUACGUAGGUGGCAAGCGUUAUCCGGAUUUAUUGGGCGUAAAGAGAGUGCAGGCGGUUUUCUAAGUCUGAUGUGAAAGCCUUCGGCUUAACCGGAGAAGUGCAUCGGAAACUGGAUAACUUGAGUGCAGAAGAGGGUAGUGGAACUCCAUGUGUAGCGGUGGAAUGCGUAGAUAUAUGGAAGAACACCAGUGGCGAAGGCGGCUACCUGGUCUGCAACUGACGCUGAGACUCGAAAGCAUGGGUAGCGAACAGGAUUAGAUACCCUGGUAGCUCGAUG
rnacentral:rRNA from 1 species